AUACGGAGGGUGCAAGCGUUAAUCGGAAUUACAGGGCGUAAAGCGUGCGUAGGUGGUUUGUUAAGUCAGAUGUGAAAGCCCCGGGCUCAACCUGGGAACUGCAUUUGAAACUGGCAUACUAGAGUAUAGGAGAGGAAAGUGGAAUUUCAGGUGUAGCGGUGAAAUGCGUAGAUAUCUGAAGGAACAUCAAUGGCGAAGGCAGCUUUCUGGACUAAUACUGACACUGAGGUACGAAAGCGUGGGUAGCAAACAGGAUUAGAAACCCUAGUAGUCC
rnacentral:rRNA from 1 species